UACGUAGGGUGCAAGCGUUGUCCGGAAUUAUUGGGCGUAAAGAGCUCGUAGGCGGUUUGUCGCGUCUGCUGUGAAAACCCGAGGCUCAACCUCGGGCCUGCAGUGGGUACGGGCAGACUAGAGUGGCGGUAGGGGAGAUUGGAAUUCCUGGUGUAGCGGUGGAAUGCGCAGAUAUCAGGAGGAACACCAGUGGCGAAGGCGGAUCUCUGGGCCGUAACUGAUGCUGAGGAGCGAAAGCU
rnacentral:rRNA from 1 species